GGGCCCGUCGUCUAGCCUGGUUAGGACGUUGGCCUUACAAGCCAAAGGUCCUGGGUUCAAAUCCCAGCGGGCCCA
rnacentral:tRNA from 1 species